CCUACGGGGGGCUGCAGUGGGGAAUAUUGGACAAUGGGGGCAACCCUGAUCCAGCCAUGCCGCGUGUGUGAAGAAGGCCCUCGGGUUGUAAAGCACUUUCAGUGAGGAAGAACGCCUGGUGGUUAAUACCCAUCAGGAAAGACAUCACUCACAGAAGAAGCACCGGCUAACUCCGUGCCAGCAGCCGCGGUAAUACGGAGGGUGCGAGCGUUAAUCGGAAUUACUGGGCGUAAAGCGCGCGUAGGUGGCUUGAUAAGCCGGUUGUGAAAGCCCCGGGCUCAACCUGGGAACGGCAUCCGGAACUGUCAAGCUAGAGUGCAGGAGAGGAAUGUAGAAUUCCCGGUGUAGCGGUGAAAUGCGUAGAGAUCGGGAGGAAUACCAGUGGCGAAGGCGGCCUUCUGGACUGACACUGACACUGAGGUGCGAAAGCGUGGGUAGCAAACAGGAUUAGAUACCCCUGUAGUC
rnacentral:rRNA from 1 species